rnacentral:piRNA from 1 species
UGCAGCACAUGGCUCUUGGCUUUUGGGUG